GGUGCUGCAUGGCUGUCGUCAGCUCGUGUCGUGAGAUGUUCGGUUAAGUCCGCUAACGAGCGCAACCCUCACUGUGUGUUAUACGUGUCACACGGGACUGCCGGUUUUAAGCCGGAGGAAGGCGAGGAUGACGUCAAGUCAGCAUGGCCUUUAUAUCUUGGGCUACACACACGCUACAAUGGUCUGUACAAUAGGUUGCCAAGCCGCGAGGCGGAGCCAAUCCUAAAAGCAGGCCUCAGUUCAGAUUGUAGGCUGCAACCCGCCUGCAUGAAGAUGGAGUUGCUAGUAACCGCAGGUCAGCUAUACUGCGGUGAAUACGUUCCCGGGUCUU
rnacentral:rRNA from 1 species